rnacentral:rRNA from 1 species
ACUCGCGGCCUAUCAGCUUGUUGGUGAGGUAAUGGCUCACCAAGGCGACGACGGGUAGCCGGCCUGAGAGGGUGACCGGCCACACUGGGACUGAGACACGGCCCAGACUCCUACGGGAGGCAGCAGUGGGGAAUAUUGCACAAUGGGCGAAAGCCUGAUGCAGCAACGCCGCGUGAGGGAUGACGGCCUUCGGGUUGUAAACCUCUUUUAGUAGGGAAGAAGCGAAAGUGACGGUACCUGCAGAAAAAGCACCGGCUAACUACGUGCCAGCAGCCGCGGUAAUACGUAGGGUGCAAGCGUUGUCCGGAAUUAUUGGGCGUAAAGAGCUCGUAGGCGGUUUGUCGCGUCUGCUGUGAAAUCCCGAGGCUCAACCUCGGGCUUGCAGUGGGUACGGGCAGACUAGAGUGCGGUAGGGGAGAUUGGAAUUCCUGGUGUAGCGGUGGAAUGCGCAGAUAUCAGGAGGAACACCGAUGGCGAAGGCAGAUCUCUGGGCCGUAACUGACGCUGAGGAGCGAAAGCAUGGGGAGCGAACAGGAUUAGAUACCCUGGUAGUCCAUGCCGUAAACGUUGGGCGCUAGAUGUAGGGACCUUUCCACGGUUUCUGUGUCGUAGCUAACGCAUUAAGCGCCCCGCCUGGGGAGUACGGCCGCAAGGCUAAAACUCAAAGGAAUUGACGGGGGCCCGCACAAGCGGCGGAGCAUGCGGAUUAAUUCGAUGCAACGCGAAGAACCUUACCAAGGCUUGACAUACACCGGAAACGGCCAGAGAUGGUCGCCCCCUUGUGGUCGGUGUACAGGUGGUGCAUGGUUGUCGUCAGCUCGUGUCGUGAGAUGUUGGGUUAAGUCCCGCAACGAGCGCAACCCUCGUUCUAUGUUGCCAGCGGGUUAUGCCGGGGACUCAUAGGAGACUGCCGGGGUCAACUCGGAGGAAGGUGGGGAUGACGUCAAAUCAUCAUGCCCCUUAUGUCUUGGGCUUCACGCAUGCUACAAUGGCCGGUACAAAGGGCUGCGAUACCGUAAGGUGGAGCGAAUCCCAAAAAGCCGGUCUCAGUUCGGAUUGAGGUCUGCAACUCGACCUCAUGAAGUCGGAGUCGCUAGUAAUCGCAGAUCAGCAACGCUGCGGUGAAUACGUUCCCGGGCCUUGUAC